GGGAAACUGAUUAUCUUGGUGAAUUUUAUAAGAACAAGGACCAUUACUUGGCACCAUAUUAUCAGACCACAACAAAAUUCUAACUUGAUCUCUAACUUGUCAUGAUACAUUUUGCAACACUAUAUAUACCAAUUAUAAAAUCAAUAUCUUCCAGAAAGAAUAAAAAAUGUGCGGAAACCUGAAUAUUUGAAUGAAUUUAUUAAGU
rnacentral:lncRNA from 1 species